UACGAAGGGUGCAAGCGUUACUCGGAAUCACUGGGCGUAAAGCGCGCGUAGGUGGUUAGUUAAGUUUGAUGUGAAAGCCCUGGGCUUAACCUGGGAAUGGCGUUGAAAACUGGCGGACUAGAGUCGGAGAGAGGGCAGUGGAAUUUCUGGUGUAGCGGUGAAAUGCGUAGAGAUCAGAAAGAACAUCGGUGGCGAAGGCGCCUGCCUGGUUCCAGACUGACACUGGAGGUGCGAAAGCGUGGGGAGCAAACAGG
rnacentral:rRNA from 1 species